rnacentral:rRNA from 1 species
UUAAGAAAAUAAGUGCAAGCGGUGGAUGCCUUGGCAUUCAGAGGCGAUGAAGGACGUGAUAAUCUGCGAUAAGCUUCGGUUAGCUGGUAAAUGAGCUAUGACCCGGAGAUUUCCGAAUGGGGGAACCCACCUGACACAAGUUGGGUACUCACUCGAUAUAGAGUGUAGAGCGAACGAGGGGAACUGAAACAUCUAAGUACCCUUAGGAAGAGAAAUCAAUUGAGAUUCCCGUAGUAGUGGCGAGCGAAGUGGGAAGAGCCUGGUAUGAUUUAGCUGUAAUUAUAGUAGAACAAGUUGGGAAGCUUGACGAUAGAGGGUGAUAGUCCCGUAUACGAAAUAAUCACAGUGGAACUAAGCAUACGAACAAGUAGGACGGGGCACGUGGAACCUUGUCUGAAUAUGGGGGGACCAUCCUCCAAGGCUAAAUACUCCUGAAUGACCGAUAGUGAACUAGUACCGUGAGGGAAAGGUGAAAAGAACCCUUAUAAAGGGAGUGAAAUAGAAUCUGAAACCGCUUGCAUACAAGCAGUAGGAGCAUGAUUUAGUCAUGUGACUGCGUACCUUUUGUAUAAUGGGUCAGCGAGUUAUUUUUAGUGGCGAGGAUAACUGAAUAAGGGAUCCGUAGCGAAAGCGAGUUUUAAUAGGGCGACUAGUCGCUAGGAGUAGACCCGAAACCGGCGCGAUCUAUCCAUGGCCAGGUUGAAGAUUAGGUAGUACUAAUUGGAGGACCGAACCCAAUACUGUUGCAAAAGUAUGGGAUGAGCUGUGGAUCGGAGUGAAAGGCUAAUCAAGCACGGAGAUAGCUGGUUCUCCCCGAAAACUAUUUAGGUAGUGCCUCGUGUAUAACUCAUUGGGGUAAAGCACUGUUUCGACAAUGGGGGUUUUACGACCUUACUGACUCGAUGCAAACUCAGAAUACGAUGAAGUUCGAUCACGGGAGACACACUGCGGGUGCUAAGGUCCGCAGUGGAAAGGGAAACAGCCCAGACCGCCAACUAAGGUCCCAAAGUCAUAGCUAAGUGGGAAACGAAGUGGGAAGGCCCAGACAGCCAGGAGGUUGGCUUAGAAGCAGCCACCCUUUAAAGAAAGCGUAAUAGCUCACUGGUCGAGUCGGCCUGCACGUAAGAUUUAACGGGGCUAAGCUAUGCACUGAAGUUGCGGAAUAUAUUUAGUAUAUUGGUAGGGGAGCGUUCUGUAAGCCGAUGAAGGUGAAUUGAGAAGUUUGCUGGAGGUAUCAGAAGUGCGAAUGCUGACAUGAGUAACGUAAAAUAAGUGAGAUUCUUAUUGGCCGAAAACCCAAGGGUUCCUACGCAAUGUUAAUCAACGUAGGGUAAGCCGGCCCCUAAGGCGUAGCUGAAGAGUGAAGUCGAUGGGAAACAGGUUAAUAUUCCUGUGCUGCUUAUAUGAACGAAGGAGGGACGGAGAAGGUUAGGUAGGCCUGGCGAAUGGUUGUCCAGGUGAAAGUAUGUAGGUAGGAAUGCUAGGCAAAUCCGGUGUUCUGUUGAUCUGAGAUACGAGACGAAGUUAAACUUGUUUGACGAAGCUAUUGAUACCAUGCUUCCAGGAAAAGCUUCUAAGUAUAUUGUAUAAGUGACCGUACUGUAAACCGACACUGGUGGGUAGGUAGAGAAUACUAAGGCUAUGAGAUAACUCUGGUGAAGGAACUAGGCAAAAUGACACCGUAACUUUGGAAGAAGGUGUGCCCUUGAUGGUGAUGAGACUUGCUCUUUGAGCUGUUGGGGGUUGCAGAUACCAGGUGGCUGCGACUGUUUAUCAAAAACACAGCACUCUGCGAAAUCGUAAGAUGAAGUAUAGGGUGUGACGCCUGCCCGGUGCUGGAAGGUUAAUUGAAGGGGUUAGCGCAAGCGAAGCUCUGGAUCGAAGCCCCAGUAAACGGCGGCCGUAACUAUAACGGUCCUAAGGUAGCGAAAUUCCUUGUCGGGU